UACGUAGGCAGCGAGCGUUGUUCGGAGUUACUGGGCGUAAAGGGUGUGUAGGCGGUUAUUUAAGUUUGGUGUGAAAUCUCCCGGCUCAACCGGGAGGGUGCGCCGAAUACUGAAUGACUUGGAGUGCGGGAGAGGAAAGUGGAAUUCCUGGUGUAGCGGUGAAAUGCGUAGAUAUCAGGAGAACACCGGUGGUGUAGACGGCUUUCUGGACCGUAACUGACGCUGAGACACGAAAGCGUGGGUAGCAAACAGG
rnacentral:rRNA from 1 species